rnacentral:tRNA from 1 species
GUGAGAUUAGUAUAACGGUAGUACGUUAGCAUUCCAUGCUGAAGGCACAGGUUCAACUCCUGUAUCUCGCU